AUUUCUUGUUUUGUUUCUCAGGUUUUGUUUUUCUCUGUUUAGUUUUUUAGUUUAGUUUGAAAAUUGCUUAGAAAAUGGUAAAUUCUGACGUUAAGAAUUUGAAUUUGAUGGGCUACAGCUCUUCGAUGAACCUACGCCGAAUGGAGUAUCCUCCACUGGUCUCGAUCCUGGGCCAAUCGCUUCCAGUCGCCCGGAACAUUGAGCGCCCUCAGGUCCUCUUCAACUGCAAAAAGCCAUCGUGCCUCGAAGCCUGCGGCCUCUUCCGGGUUCAAAUUGUUGGUUGACGAUAAUAAACUCAAAAUAGAAGGUGAAAAAGUCUCAAAUUUCCUGUAAGUAUCUUCUCAAUCAAACGAAUGGUCAUUGUGUAUUUGUGAAUUUGGAAAAUUUUGCGGACCGAGGAAGAAGGCCGGAUUCAAUGAUUUAUUCACUGUAUAACAUUGGUGAUGUCUAUAAAGUGAUAAUAAUUAUGCCCGAAUGUGCCGGAUCUUGAUUCGAAGCAGGGACUGUGUCCAGUAAGUACUGCAACCACUGCAACGGGACCGGAAAACAGGUGACAAUUAGCUUAUCGAUUUUUGAUGCAUUCCACCUGUCGCUAAUGCCAAGGUGCACGAAGUUUCGUCAAAUAUCCGUGCCCGGAAGCGGCGGUAAAGGACUGAUGGCCCUGAGAGAGCGGAUGACUAUGUACGUGUGACGGCGUUGGGGUUGGACAUGCUGUACAAAUGCGUGGAAACAAGAACGGCAAAGAUAGCACGCUUUUACAAAAAUAUUAUAAUAGACAACUUUAAAUACAAAUGGAUUGUUCUUCUCAAAUCCGGUUUAGCUGGUAUCAACUUUCGUCUGGCUUUCAUUCGCGAUUCGAUGUAGUACGCAAAUGGUUUAUCUACCCCAAUAUGGUACCGUAUCAAUACUUGGAUGGCGUUCCGUUGCUCAUUAUGCCAUGCACAAGCUAUAGAAUAGGAACUGCAAGCUACACGGCUGAUAUGAAAUGUUUUUUUCCCUACAUCCUGUCGAGGAUGUUCGGGACAUCGACACUUAUGAGUCCAGGAUGCCGUUUGUCCAGACCAUAAUGUGACUAUCACUGGAAAUUUGAAGGAUCGUCCUCAGGAGGAAAACAGUUCGAAGGCUUGAAAAAUAUAAGCAGUUACCGUUCAUAGCAACAAAAACUCACUGACAGAUGGGCAAAUUGUCGCAGAAUUCUCUGACCUUGAUAUGGAGGCUAUUCGGGCGAUUCGAUUGAAACCAUACUCGUUCUGCUCUUUGUGUCACAUAAUCAUCGGCCUGUGUUCAGACCAGAUUCAACAGUAAUAAUUUUUGUUAGCUUCAUUAGAGAGACUUGCAAAAUGAAAUUGUAACAGAUUAACUGCAAUAAGAUAGAACUAAAUAAAUUUUACGAUUGAGUAAAACUAAAUUGAAAUUGCGUACCUCAUGAAAUUGAAUUCAAAUUACACUGAAAUUAAAGUAAAAAUAGUAUAAAACAAGAUAAAAGUUAAAAUAGCACUAAAUGAAUUAAAAUUUAAUCAAUUAAUUUAGACCUACAUAUAUUUAAAAUUAUAUUAAUCUGAAUUUAAAUUAGAAUUAAAUUGAAAAAGACUUUUUUUUUAGUCUUUAUUAAGGUGUUUUUUUGAUCUACAGACUAAGUUCAACACCGGUGAAAAAGACAUUCUCAUUGUUUGUUUUCAGCAUUUGCAACGAUACAUAAUUAUAUAUACUGCCUAUAGGCAUAUGAUCGCAUAUUAGUCCCUUUUGGAAAAACAUCAAAUGGAGUAAAUGAGGAACCAACAUCAAGCCUACUUGUCCCAUCUUGAAAAUGACUGCACAUGAGUCCAAUUAUUAAGGAACAAGGAACUCAUAAGGUCAUUUUCCAUCUAAGGUGAACUGGCUUGAUAUUUUUUCCGACUUUUGAACAAACAUUCCUAUUUGACAAUUGCAUUCGAUAAUACUGUGAUGAAUAUGACCGUUACAGAAGUUUUUAAGUAAUGAUUGAUAUAAAAAAAUAUAAGUAAUAAUUUGAUAGAAACAAAAUGAGAUUUUACAAUGAACCGAAUAGAAUGAGAAAAUCAUUUCUGAUGAUGACCAGUUUAUAUAUUCACUUAUUCUUUCGGACAGAAUUAAGAAAAUGAGAAAAAAAAUCAGCUCUUUUAGUGGAAUGUCUUCAACUGUCUAAGACGAGUUUAGAACUUUCCAAUUAAUUCCACCCCGUUUUGUUAUCUUUCCAGAUACGACCUCAACUGUGAGGCCGUCUCCAGUGCCUU